AUGAUCCAGAAACACCUACUCGAUUUAUCUGCUGGUGCAGAACCAGCGAGGGCACCGACCACUCCGAUGACAAAGUGGGAACUCCCCAAGCGGAAGUUUGUCAAGGUAAACUUCGACGCUGCCUUCAAAAAGGAGUCCGACGAUGGCGCCUAUGGUUAUAUUCUGCGUUCGGACGACGGAGCCGCCAUAGCAGCUGGAGCUGGGAAACUGUCACGCAUCAAAAGUGCCCUUCAUGCGGAAGCGGAGGCAUGUCUGGCUGCAGUGGAGGGAGCUGCAAAUGCGGGCGUACACCGGGUGAUGUUGGAGUCUGAUUCCCUCACUUUGGUGCAAGCACUCAAUUCGACAUCAGUUGUUUUUAAGUACCUCUUUACUCUUCGCGGUUGCGCUUGCGUUUUCCAAACAGAUCUUUGCGAGCUUUGCACACAGACUGUUUCCCAGCUUGUUUGUUGUCCAACAGUGUAG
rnacentral:rRNA from 1 species